rnacentral:rRNA from 1 species
AAGCUAAGCAGUGAUGUGGAGCAAAUCCCCAAAAGCAGUCUUAGUUCGGAUUGUAGGCUGCAACCCGCCUACAUGAAGUCGGAAUUGCUAGUAAUCGCGGAUCAGCAUGCCGCGGUGAAUACGUUCCCGGGCCUUGUACACACCGCCCGUCACACCAUGGGAGUUGGUAACACCCGAAGUCAGUAGCCUAACCGCAAGGAGGGCGCUGCCGAAGGUGGGAUCGAUGACUGGGGUGAAGUCGUAACAAGGUAAC